rnacentral:tRNA from 1 species
GUGGGAAUGGUGGAACGGCAGACACGCCAGCCUCAGGAGCUGGUGCCCGAAAGGGCGUGCGGGUUCAAAUCCCGCUUCCCACACCA